rnacentral:lncRNA from 1 species
AGUAAAUUUUAUUCAGUUUGGUACUAGAUGAAGACACUCUUGCUUGCUAGUUUGAUUUCCAAACUCCCCCAUAAUAGGCAUACGUAUUACUAAUUUUUACUAAUGUAUGCAAAUCAGUGGUUAAAGUAGAUUGAAACAGGAGGGGAAUGUGUGGAAAGGAGCUGUUUACUCAGUCCAAGGAGAGGUGGGGAAGCCACCCUCUCCUUUUUUUUCCUCUCCUUUAAUCCCUGAUUCAAAUAUUCUAAUAAGUAUAGGGUCUUCAAAUUAAAAAGAUAAAAUGUAAAUUAAUUUUAGUAAUAGAAUUAUUUGUUUCUAGCAAUAGUAUUUACUAAUUAUACUGUUAAUUGUAUAAGUCAGUAGAGCUGGUCAAAAUUUUUCAUUCAAAAUCUUUUUUUUUUUAACACAAAAUUAGACCUUUUUUUGAAACCAUAGCAUUUGGUUUUUAACAUUUUCCAUUUUUCUGCUGAAACCUACAACUGCCAAUUUUUUAAAUUGAAAUCUAGGAAUGGAAAGAACAGACCUGAAUCAUUUGAGAGUGGAAGGAGAAUAAAGCAUGGUCGCCUUCCAUCCAGCUUCCCCCUGAAAGUCAACUAAUAGAAGAUGAAGCAGUCCUGCAAGAUUCUAACUCAACAUUGCACAUCCUCCUUCCUCAAGAUAGUGCUGAAUAUCACCAGACUACUUCAGUGAGAAAAGCAUAUAUGCUCGUCGGGGUUUGGAGCAUGGCUGCCCAAAAUAAAUAUCAGGCUCCCACAAGAAUGAGAAACUGCUAACCUUCUAUAUAAGUUCAGAUCAGUGCAACACAUGGUCCUGUUGUAGUCAGUGGAGUGGUUUGCAGCAGGGCUUUGGAGCGGAGCCCGGAGCUGGAUAGCAGAGCAGUAGGUUUUUGCCCGGAGCUGGAGCCGGAGAGAGCAAUUCAAAAAUUUGAUUGCUCCAAAUCCCUGGUUUGCUGGGCCACACUGAACAGAAACUUGAUCAAGCUGAGUAGUUCCUGCAGGUGACUUGUUUUUGUUCUAAGAAUAAAUUCUUUCCACUUACUCUGAAAUAGAGAAAU